ACUAUUUCUGGACCUUUUUGCUAAGAUCAAGUGUAGUAUCUUUCCUUAUCAGUUUAAUAUCUGAUAUAUCCUCCAUGUCAGGACUACAGAUUUACCCUUA
ensembl:snRNA U2 U2 spliceosomal RNA